rnacentral:rRNA from 1 species
AGAGUUUGAUCCUGGCUCAGGAUGAACGCUGGCGGCGUGCCUAACACAUGCAAGUCGAACGGAGUUACUAGAGCUUGCUUUGGUAACUUAGUGGCGGACGGGUGAGUAAUGUAUGAGCAACCUGCCUUUCAGAGGGGGACAACAGUUGGAAACGACUGCUAAUACCGCAUAAUGUACGUUGGGGGCAUCUCCGAUGUACCAAAGGAGCAAUCCGCUGAAAGAUGGGCUCAUAUCUGAUUAGUUAGUUGGCAGGGUAACGGCCUACCAAGACUGCGAUCAGUAGCCGGACCGAGAGGUUGAACGGCCACAUUGGGACUGAGAUACGGCCCAGACUCCUACGGGAGGCAGCAGUGGGGAAUAUUGGGCAAUGGGCGAAAGCCUGACCCAGCAACGCCGCGUGAAGGAAGAAGGCUUUCGGGUUGUAAACUUCUUUUGCCAGGGACGAAGGACGUGACGGUACCUGGAGAAAAAGCCACGGCUAACUACGUGCCAGCAGCCGCGGUAAUACGUAGGUGGCAAGCGUUAUCCGGAUUUACUGGGCGUAAAGGGAGCGUAGGCGGAUAUUUAAGUGGGAUGUGAAAUACCCGAGCUUAACUUGGGAGCUGCAUUCCAAACUGGAUAUCUAGAGUACUGGAGAGGGUAGUGGAAUUCCAUGUGUAGCGGUAAAAUGCGUAGAUAUAUGGAGGAACACCGGUGGCGAAGGCGGCUACCUAGACAGAGACUGACGCUGAGGCACGAAAGCGUGGGGAGCAAAUAGGAUUAGAUACCCUAGUAGUCCACGCUGUAAACGAUGAAUGCUAGGUAUCGGGGCGACCCGGUGCCGAAACUAACGCGAUAAGCAUUCCGCCUGUGGAGUAUGCACGCAAGUGUGAAACAUAAAGGAAUUGACGGGGGCCCGCACAAGCGGUGGAGUAUGUGGUUUAAUUCGACGCAACGCGAAGAACCUUACCAGGCCUUGACAUCCCUUGCGAAAUCCUGGAGACAGGAGGGAGGCUAUCAAGGAGACAGGUGGUGCAUGGUUGUCGUCAGCUCGUGUCGUGAGAUGUUGGGUUAAGUCCCGCAACGAGCGCAACCCCUAUUGUUAGUUGCUACGCAAGAGCACUCUAGCGAGACUGCCGUUGACAAAACGGAGGAAGGUGGGGACGACGUCAAAUCAUCAUGCCCCUUAUGUCCUGGGCUACACACGUAAUACAAUGGCGUCCAACAAAGGGAAGCAAAGCCGCGAGGCAGAGCAAAUCCCCAAAAGACGUCUCAGUUCGGAUUGCAGGCUGCAACUCGCCUGUAUGAAGUCGGAAUUGCUAGUAAUCGCGGAUCAGCAUGCCGCGGUGAAUACGUUCCCGGGCCUUGCACACACCGCCCGUCAA